GCCCUAAAAUGUCCUCCCACUGAGAAGUAAUUAAAAACUGUUUUUCAGGCCGGGCGCAGUGGCUCACGCCUGUAAUCUCAGCACUUUGGGAGGCCGAGGCGGGCGGAUCAUGAGGUCAGGAGAUGGAGACCAUCCUGCCUAACAAGAUUUCUCCAAAAGACUCUUUAAAUCUCCUACCUGGAAGGUGAGGCUCUGGCUGCCACAGUUCCAGGGCCCAGUGGAGAUAGAAAGCCAGAAGUCUCCAUAUUCAAGACUAAGAAUGAGGUUUUAAUUUAGGUAUGUACCCAUGAACCAUCACCACAAUCAAGACGGUGAACACAUCCAUCACUCCUCAAAGUUUCCUUGUUCCUCUUUAUAAUCCGGCCCUCUUGCCAUCCCCAUCCUCUACACUCCAAGCAACCACUGAUCUGCUGUCACUAUUGAUGAGUUUGCAUUUUCUAGAUUUAUAUAAUGGAAUCAUACAGUAUAUACUUUUUUUCUGGCUUCUUUCACUUAGCAUAAUUAUUUUGAUAUUCUUAUAUAGUACGUAUCAAUGUUCAUUUAAAAAAUAUAACUGAAGAGUAUGUAUUGUAUGAAUACAUCACAAUGUUUAUUUAUUCAUCUGUGGAGGGAUGUUGAAGUUGUUUCCGGUUUUUGGCUACUUCAAAUAAAGCUGCCACAAACAUUUGCAAA